GGUUAUAGUAAGCCUGUCCCAGCUUCCUCCCGUCCGAUGUGUGGAGGCAAGCCAGGUGACAGAGGUGUUGCAGACGCUGAUUACUGUCAGCCAGAGCCGUAGUGUUGUCGUGCACUGAACGGAAUGGAAUUGGCCAGGUGACCCUUUUUGGGUAUGAAAAAGGAUGGCGAGCCAACGAACGGCUAGGAGCAGGAAUCAUUCUGCAUUGAAGCUUCCACUGGUCUGGUAGGAAGUUAUCAAAGAUGACGCUCUGUCCCCAUUUUCCAAUUACACUGAUUUCCACAAUCUUACACACCAUUCCCCCCGUUUAUGGACAAUAGCACUUGGACAGCUCUUAUGGACACUCAGAUAAAACUCAUGGACUUUCUCAGUGUGGAUCAGUGUUUUCGAUGUUGACGUGUGUUGUUUAUGGGGAACAUGUUUUUUUUGCGAAUCUAUAUUGCUUAGUAUAAGCUAGAAGAAUUACUUACGGUUUUUGAGUAAUUGAACCGCUGCAGCAGGAGUGAUUAUUUAAGUUUUCCUUUUCUUUUCUUGUUAUUUUCUUUGGUUUUGGUUAAAUACAUUGUCAGGAGUUUUCCUGUUAUGCAACUCAGGUCAGAAUAAAACGCUCAGACAGGUUUAACGUGUACACGGUCGAGACUCAGGGAGACUCGCCUCUGCAGCAAAAAGAAGCAGUCUUUUAUUAAAAGCACAUACAGGAAGAGAUACAGGAAGAGAGAAAAUAGCUGCUGCGUGCAGGCUUCCUGUGGAGUACAGAGUGUAACUUCCCCAUUUAGGAGUCUGCACAA